UACGUAGGGUGCAAGCGUUGUCCGGAAUUAUUGGGCGUAAAGAGCUCGUAGGCGGUCUGUUGCGUCUGCUGUGAAAUCCCGGGGCUCAACCCCGGGCGUGCAGUGGAUACGGGCUGGCUAGAGGCAGGCAGGGGAGAACGGAAUUCCCGGUGUAGCGGUGAAAUGCGCAGAUAUCGGGAGGAACACCGGUGGCGAAGGCGGUUCUCUGGGCCUGUACUGACGCUGAGGAGCGAAAGCGUGGGGAGCGAACAGG
rnacentral:rRNA from 1 species